rnacentral:rRNA from 2 species
ACGUAGGGAGCGAGCGUUGUCCGGAAUGACUGGGUGUAAAGGGAGCGUAGGCGGGAUGGCAAGUCAGAUGUGAAACCUGAGGGCUCAACCUUCAGACUGCAUUUGAAACUGCUGUUCUUGAGUGAAGUAGAGGUAAGCGGAAUUCCUGGUGUAGCGGUGAAAUGCGUAGAGAUCAGGAGGAACAUCGGUGGCGAAGGCGGCUUACUGGGCUUUUACUGACGCUGAGGCUCGAAAGCGUGGGGAGCAAACAG